AUUUGAACAAAAAACUGAAUAUUGCACCAGAAUUCCAAUAUCACUAAACUUUUCCAAUUUCAUCGACCAUAAAUACCUUCUCUGAGUUUUUCAUGUUGCAACCAUCUAUCACACAUUUAUAUGCAUCCCAGUCUUCUUCUGCGAGCUUGCUUAAACUCUUCUCUUUUCUGCAACCAUCUAUCACCUUCUCUGAGUUUCUCUCGAGUUCUUCUCUUUUUUGGGAGCACUGGUCUCCUUCCAUCUGCCGCAUGUUGAUUCCCCUGCCCCGUCCGAGCAGGGAACGUCCUCGUUUCUUCCACCCGGAGAAUAUGGGGUUAUUUGUGAGGGUUUCUUUGAUAUGCUUUUCUGCUUUCCUUGCUUUAUUGUGGUUAAAUCCUUGCAAGUAGAUUUAAAGGCUCACAGAUUUUAUUCUUAUAUAUAUUGUCCUCUACGCUGAAGGGAGGUAAGGCAGUGACUCGCAGAGCAAUGCUCAGAAGGCGCGAUUGGAUCAGUGAAGAGGACAUCCUCACCACCUUCGCUGGCGUUGCUUCAUCUAUAAAGAUGUUGUUGACCAGAAUCGUUGGAAGUGGUCCAAGAAUGGCUCUUCAGCAGUUCUGAACCCAAGCAAGAGGAAGUGGAGUAGCUCAUAGUGCCAAGUCGAAGAGCGCAUCUGCACCGAUUCUUGCUGGCAUGCUUGUUCUAAGGCGACCUCCUUUGACUCGGGCAUUGGACCUAUUGAUAUGAGAUGUGGGUUUUCCUUCUUGAUUGUGCCAAGGUUCCAUCGCCUUUCAGCCAGAUCUUUGCUUGCAUGCAACUAUUCUUCUACUUGUGUUGCUUCCUUCGCUCUGGAAGAUGUGGAUUUGGUUUGGGUUUUUCUCCUUCGAUCUUAAGUGACUGUUUAAUGGCCAGAUUUGCUAAUAUUUUGGGAGUUUUUUCUUGUUCAGCCUUAGCAGUUACUCUGUCCGGUGGCCGAAUUUUCAAAACAUGGAGCCGCUCUGCUUUAAUUGUUUUGUCGGAUCUGGUUUCAGAUCAUAUGGUAUUUCCCGUCUCUAGA